UACGUAGGGACCGAGCGUUGUCCGGAAUCAUUGGGCGUAAAGAGCGUGUAGGCGGCCACUUAAGUCCUGCGUGAAAUCCUGCGGCUCAACCGCAGGCGGUCGUGGGAAACUGGGUGGCUAGAGUGCGGGAGAGGAGAGUGGAAUUCCUGGUGUAGCGGUGGAAUGCGCAGAUAUCAGGAGGAACACCGGUGGCGAAGGCGGAUCUCUGGGCCAUUACUGACGCUGAGGAGCGAAAGCGUGGGGAGCGAACAGG
rnacentral:rRNA from 1 species